AUUGAACGCUGGCGGCAUGCUUUACACAUGCAAGUCGAACGGCAGCGGGGACUUCGGUCCGCCGGCGAGUGGCGAAUGGGUGAGUAAUGCAUCGGAACGUGCCUAUCAGUGGGGGAUAACGCUUCGAAAGGAGUGCUAAUACCGCAUAAUCUCGAGAGAGCAAAGCUGCCCGCAAGGGUGGCACUUGAGGAGGAGCCUGCGUCCGAUUAGCUAGUUGGUGGGGUAAUGGCCUACCAAGGCGAUGAUCGGUAACUGGUCUGAGAGGACGACCAGUCACACUGGGACUGAGACACGGCCCAGACUCCUACGGGAGGCAGCAGUGGGGAAUAUUGGACAAUGGGGGCAACCCUGAUCCAGCGAUGCCGCGUGAGUGAAGAAGGCCUUCGGGUCGUAAAGCUCUUUAGGUUGGGAAGAAGUGUAUUGGCUGAAUAAUCCAGUACAUUGACGGUACCGACAGAAUAAGCACCGGCAAACUCUGUGCCAGCAGCCGCAGUAAAAC
rnacentral:rRNA from 1 species